rnacentral:lncRNA from 1 species
UCAUAAUUUCAUGAAUAACCCUCUAAACUAAAAAAUAUCAUCAAUACCCUUCUUAAAACCAAAAAAUAUUCACAGAUAUCAUUUAGGGUGCGUUUGAUUCGGGCUAUCUUUUUAAGAUUCCUAGUAAUCCAAUAGGAAUAAAAAAAUAUGACGGUGUUUGGCCAAACGCAUUAAGUAAUCUAGUUGGUAAUACUGGAUUUACUAGGGAAUGAGAUGCAUCCCAAAGUACUAAUCUCAUUCCUUUGAGGGAAUGUGGGUAUCCUUAUAUUAAUGGAUUGGAGUAGUUAUAAUAUGUCUAAUCUCUUUCUUUCUUCUCACCCACCGGCUAGUUGGUAGUAUUUUUCUUUGCAUUCUAACCUCAUAUCUUUCUCUAAACUUAUCUUUUUCUCUCUAAACUUCAACUCUUUUUCUCUCUCUAAACUAAACUAUUUCUCUCCCUCUUUUUCUAAAAUGUCAACCGUCUCAUUCUCUCUAGCAUCGACUCUAUUUCUUUAAUUAUGCUCUCUCUUUCUAACAUAUAUUUUCUCUUUUUUUUUCUAAAAAGAUAUUGAAAUUUUUUAUAGUAUUAUUUAAAAUUAAAUUAAAUUAAUUAAUUAAUUAAUUGUAUAUUUUUCGUAAUCUUAAAUAGCAUGACUAAAUAAUAUGACCGUACAAAUCAAAUACCGAAAUACUACAUUCUUAGUAAUAGGAUGAAUAGGAAUAAGAUUCUUGGAUAUCUUUUUACUUCUAAUAAUAUUUCAUAGUGCGAACCAAACGCACCCCUAGGUUAACUUUCCGUUAAGAAGUCAUCCAAUAUUUUAUAAAUACUAAUUUUACCCCUAGCACGAAUUUGACCAUAUAAUAUUUAAGAUUAAUUAUAUGAUCAAUUUUUAACGUUUGAAUCACGUAAUAAUUUAACAUUCUUUUUAAAAUUUUAUAAUUAAAGAUCUAGUCUAUUAGGU